rnacentral:tRNA from 1 species
GGCGAGAUAGCUCAGUUGGUUAGAGCGCAGGAUUCAUAACCCUGAGGUCCGGAGUUCAACUCUCCGUCUCGCUACAA